GAUUUAGAGGGCAUGCAAUGGGAACCCCAUGGUUGGUGAUUGGUAAUAUUCCAAAGCUGCUGUCUCUCCCCCUUGGGCUUCAACAUCUCUUUUUCAAUUGAAAACACUAGGAAUUCAUGAAUGCCAUGGAUUGAGGUCACUCUUUCCUGUGUUCCAACAUCUCAUUUUCCUUGAACAGUUUUCAAUAAGUAGCUGAAGUUAUCUGUACCUAAGUUCCAAAUAUUCGAAGAUCAUACAAGCCUGUGCUCUCUAGCGCUAGCAAAGAUUCCAAAUAGUCGCCAUCUUCCGGAGUGGCUUCAACAUCAAACAAAUCUGCCAAGGCUUAUUCUCUCUGAUUUAACAUCGCUUCCGGACGAGAACCAGUUUGGAAAAGUUCUUUAUGAAACGACUUCCCCAGUUGGAGGAAAGAUGUCGGAAGGACAUUGGUGCCGAUUGGCAUAAGAUUGCUCAUAUCGCUACAGUAACCAUCGAAGACUUUUAGUGAAACGAAUUUGGCAAAUUCAUGAAUCUAAAUGCAGGAAAAAAAAGUGCUUAUUCCCAAUACCAGCAAGGAAUGACAGCAUGAGUUCAAUGGAAGAGCCAAAAAGCAGGACAUGCAUUCUUCAUCAGCUGAUCUGUCCAUGGCAUUGUGCUCCCAUGAAAUCCUCCUCUCUAUGCACAUUUGCUCUUUCUUUUUCCUUUUUUCUUUGUUAAAGAGUCACUCUGUAUGCUAUCUUCAUCAGCUGAUCUUGGAGCUUGUAUAUAUAGAUGCUUUGUGGACUUAAAGCAA